GGCUGCCGUAAAACGCGGACGACGGAGAGUUGUUGCCACCGCCGCUGCCAGGAUCACCACCAUGUACCACAGCAGCACGCAGUGGCGGCACUGGACCUUCCGCAGCGAGGAGGAGCUGGCGCGGUGCCGGGCGGAGGCCAACCGCAAGUUUCGCAGCAAAGCGGUGGCGAGCGGGAAGGUCCAGCAGACCGACCCUGCCCUGCUGGAGCCCCACGAGGAGCUGGCGAUAUGCAAGUACUACGAAAAGAGGUUGCUGGACUUCUGCGCCGUCUUCAAGCCUGCCAUGCCCAGAUCGGUGGUGGGAACAGCUUGCAUGUAUUUCAAACGCUUUUACCUCAAUAACUCAGUGAUGGAGUAUCAUCCUCGGAUAAUAAUGUUAACAUGUGCAUUUUUGGCCUGUAAAGUAGAUGAAUUUAAUGUGUCCAGUGCACAGUUUGUUGGUAACCUUCGAGAAAGCCCUCCGGGCCAGGAAAAAGCUCUUGAACAAAUACUGGAAUAUGAACUACUGCUUAUUCAGCAACUGAACUUCCAUCUUAUCGUCCACAAUCCAUACAGGCCAUUUGAGGGAUUUCUAAUCGAUUUGAAGACUCGCUAUCCAAUGCUGGAGAAUCCUGAAGUUUUGAGGAAAACAGCUGAUGACUUCCUGAAUCGAGUGGCUCUGACAGAUGCGUAUCUGCUUUUUGCUCCCUCACAGAUAGCUCUCGCUGCCGUACUAUCUAGUGGUUCAAGAGCAGGAAUUAAUAUGGAAAGUUACUUAACAGAAAGUCUUAUGCUGAAAGAGAACAGAACAUCCUUAGCCAAGCUACUAGAUGAUGUGAAAUGCAUGAAAAAUCUCAUAAAGAAAUAUGAACUACCAAGGCCUGAAGAGGUUGCUGUUCUGAAACAGAAAUUAGAGAAGUGCCACAGCUCGGAGCUUUCACUUAAUACAAACCCGUAAGAAGAAGAGGAAAGGUUGUGAAGAUGAUGACCAUGUCACGAAGAAAUGCAGAACGGAUGAGGAGGAGUGGACUGAUGAUGAACUUGCAGAGUCAGUGUGACGUUGAAGAAAGAUGGGAUCCCACUGCUGCAGAAACUACUGUUCGGUGUCAAGUGUGAACCUGUCUGCCCCAGGUGCCUUACUGUGUGUGUCAUGCGAUAUUUAUUCUGUCACGUUGAUCUUCCUAAUAAAGCAUUUGACUAUGCUAAAAUAA